CUACGGGAUGCAGCAGUCGAGAAUCAUCCGCAAUGGGCGAAAGCCUGACGGUGCAAUGCCGCGUGGGGGAUGAAGGCCCUCGGGUCGUAAACCCCUGUCAGGAGGGACGAAGAAGUGAAGGUACCUCCAGAGGAAGCCACGGCUAACUACGUGCCAGCAGCCGCGGUAAUACGUAGGUGGCGAGCGUUAUUCGGAUUUACUGGGCGUAAAGGGUCCGCAGGGGGUUUGCCAAGUCUGGUGUGAAAUCUCACAGCUCAACUGUGAAACUGCGCUGGAUACUGGUGAACUAGAGUGCGCGAGGGGUGAGUGGAAUUCCUGGUGUAGCGGUGGAAUGCGUAGAUAUCAGGAAGAACACCAACGGCGAAGGCAGCUCACUGGCGCGCAACUGACCCUCAUGGACGAAAGCGUGGGUAGCAAACAGGAUUAGAUACCCGCGUAGUC
rnacentral:rRNA from 1 species